rnacentral:rRNA from 2 species
AGAAGCCUUCGGGUGGAAGAUGAGAUAACUUAGUGGCGGACGGGUGAGUAACACGUGAGCAACCUGCCUAUCAGAGGGGGAUAACGUUCUGAAAAGAACGCUAAUACCGCAUAACGUGCGAGGGAGACAUCUCCCUUGUACCAAAGGAGCAAUCCGCUGAUAGAUGGGCUCGCGUCCGAUUAGGUAGUUGGUAGGGUAACGGCCUACCAAGCCGACGAUCGGUAGCCGGACUGAGAGGUUGAACGGCCACAUUGGGACUGAGACACGGCCCAGACUCC